GGGGGUAUAGCUCAGUUGGGAGAGCACCUGCCUUGCACGCAGGGGGUCAAGGGUUCGAAUCCCUUUACCUCCACCA
rnacentral:tRNA from 4 species